GAAAUGCGAUAAGUAAUGUGAAUUGCAGAAUUCAGUGAAUCAUCGAAUCUUUGAACGCACAUUGCGCCCGCCAGUAUUCUGGCGGGCAUGCCUGUUCGAGCGUCAUUACAACCCUCAGGCCCCCGGGCCUGGCGUUGAGGAUCGGCGGAAGCCCCCUGCGGGCACAACGCCGUCCCCCAAAUACAGUGGCGGUCCCGCCGCAGCUUCCAUUGCGUAGUAGCUAACACCUCGCAACUGGAGAGCGGCGCGGCCACGCCGUAAAACACCCAACUUCUGAAUGUUGACCUCGAAUCAGGUAGGAAUACCCGCUGAACUUAAGC
rnacentral:misc_RNA from 1 species